UGUAAAAGAAGAGCUCGGAAAAGGCCGUUCCAGCACUUGCACGCUAUGGGGAACCUUUUCUCUUGCCUUGAUAUCGGUUCUGUGCGAGGAAAUGAAGGCGACAACAACAACUACGGAAAAGGGGACCAAAACAUCACUCGUGAAUCUUUCAACAACCACGGAAGUGGGUCCCAGAGUUUCAACAAUGCCAGGAUUAAUAAUCGUUCAAACAACUAGUAUUAGCGAGGCGCUGAUGUGGUUUUACUGUUUCAAGCAACGUAUGAAGGAUGAUGCUGACUUAUCAGUGAAGGGAGUGCAGUGUUGUUAUUGUUCCUUCUUUUCUGUCUUAGCGUGUGGUUUCAAUAUAAACGAUCUUUUAACUUUUUUCUUGUGGAAGGGAGUGAAGAUAGUGUAUGCUUUCCUUCUUUUGUGUUCGUGGUUUCAAUUAUAAGUGUUGGGUUCUAUUUGUACUUAGAAUUAUGUUCAUCAAUAUGUUGUACUUCAAUAUAAGUUGUAGACUCCUUUUAUGUUCA